GCCCUUAUAACUCAGAGGUAGAGUAUCUUCUUGGUAAGAAGAAAGUCAUGAGUUCAAGUCUCAUUAAGGGCU
rnacentral:tRNA from 1 species